rnacentral:rRNA from 1 species
CCUACGGGAGGCAGCAGUGAGGAAUAUUGGUCAAUGGACGAGAGUCUGAACCAGCCAAGUAGCGUGAAGGAUGACUGCCCUAUGGGUUGUAAACUUCUUUUAUAAAGGAAUAAAACGAGGCACGUGUGCCUUUUUGCAUGUACUGUAUGAAUAAGGAUCGGCUAACUCCGUGCCAGCAGCCGCGGUAAUACGGAGGAUCCGAGCGUUAUCCGGAUUUAUUGGGUUUAAAGGGAGCGUAGAUGGGUUGUUAAGUCAGUUGUGAAAGUUUGCGGCUCAACCGUAAAAUUGCAAUUGAUACUGGCAGUCUAGAGUACAGAUGAGGUAGGCGGAAUUCGUGGUGUAGCGGUGAAAUGCUUAGAUAUCACGAAGAACCCCGAUUGCGAAGGCAGCUUACUAAACUGUGACUGACAUUGAUGCUCGAAAGUGUGGGUAUCAAACAGGAUUAGAUACCCUUGUAGUC